rnacentral:snRNA from 1 species
GUUCUCGCUUCGGCAGCACAGAUACUAAAAUUGGACCAAUACAGAGAAGAUUAGCAUGGCCUCUGCACAAGCAUGACAUGCAAAUUUGUGAAGCAUUCUAUAUUUUU